AUUGAACGCUGGCGGCAUGCCUUACACAUGCAAGUCGAACGGUAACAGGUCUUCGGAUGCUGACGAGUGGCGAACGGGUGAGUAAUACAUCGGAACGUGCCUAGUAGUGGGGGAUAACUACUCGAAAGAGUGGCUAAUACCGCAUGAGAUCUACGGAUGAAAGCAGGGGAUCGCAAGACCUUGUGCUACUAGAGCGGCCGAUGGCAGAUUAGGUAGUUGGUGGGAUAAAAGCUUACCAAGCCGACGAUCUGUAGCCGGUCCGAGAGGACGAUCAGCCACCCUGGGACUGAGACCACGCCCAGAAUCCUACCGGAGGCCGCAGGGGGGAAUUUUGGACAAUGGGGGAAAGCCUGAUUCAGCCAUUCCGCGUGCAGGAUGAAGGCCUUUGGGUUUUAAACCGCUUUUGUACCGAACGAAAAGCCCCGGGUUAAAUCCCUUGGGGUCUGACCGGAAUGGAAGAAUAAGCACCGGCUAACUACGUGCCAGCAGCCGCCGUAA
rnacentral:rRNA from 1 species